rnacentral:sRNA from 1 species
UUUGCAGAGAAAAAGAUUGGCCACAAAC